rnacentral:tRNA from 1 species
GGCAGUAUGGCAUAGUGGGUAAGGAACUGGGCUUGUAACCGAGAGGUCAUAGGUUCGAUUUCUGGGUAGGACA